UAUGGCCGUAUCUCGUCGAGACACCAGUUCCCGUACGAUCACUGAAGUUAAGCAAUGUCGGGCUUGGUCAGUACCUAGAUGAGUGACCGCUUGGGAAUAUCAGCUGCUGUAAG